CCCCCCCCGGAGUACCUCCCGGCCUCGGACCCCCCCUUUGGGGUCCGAUCCUCGCCCAGCUUAGAGCAUUGCGUCCUCUCUCUCUCGACCCCCUCGCGCCGAUCUGCCCAAAAGCCAGUCAUCAAAAGUUUACAGACUCAGAAGAAAGAACAUUAAUCCCCAUUUGGUUUACAAAGGAAUACCAUUCUUGUUAUCAGUAAAUUAGCAUUCCUGCUAGUUAACAAAAGGAAACCCUUUCCCAACAGUAACAAAGAAAAAAGAAGAAACCCCCUUUACACAACAUUAGCAUUCAUUUUAUAAAAACUGGAUUAUAAAAGCAAGGAUGUAAUGCUGAGGUAUUACAAGGUGCUGGUCAGACCACAUUUGGAGUAUUGUGAACAGUUCCGGGACCAUAUCUAAGGAAGGAUGUGCUGACGUUGGAGAUCAUCUAGAGGAGGUUUAUGAAAAUUAUCCUGGGGGUGAAAGGGUUAAUGUAUGAGAAACCUUUGAUCGGUCUCAGCCUGCACUCAUAGUUUAGAAGGAUUGGGGGUGGGGGGGGAGAAGGUGAUGAAAUCUCAUUGAAAUCUACAGAAUAUUGAAAGGUCUGGAUAGAGUAGACAUGGACAAGGUAUUUCCAGUAGGGGAAAGGUGUCUAGGACUAAGGGGCAUAAGCCUCAGAAUAAAACAAUACCCUUUAGAACAGAGACCAGGAAGAAUUUAUUUUAGGCAGAACUGCUAUGGAGGCCAAGUCACUGUGUACAUUUAAAGCUGAGGUUAGUAGAUUCUUGAUCAGCCAAAGGUUACAAGGUUAACACGUCACAUGCAGCCAACCAGUACAGAGCAGAUUCAAUAGGCCAUACAGUCUAAUUCUGCUCCUAGGUCUUAGCAGCAUGCGCUUCAUGUCAUCAUAAUUAUGCUUUUAUCAAAACUUAUUCAAAGCCUGCUCACUCUAUCAACUCAUAUGGUGUUGAUAUGUCCAAAUCAGUCCAUUACGCAGCAUAGAAAAAGGCCCUUGGUCCAACUCUUCCUAAAGUAUAUUCUUGAGUUAGUCUAAUUUACAUGCAUUUGACCUUUUUCCACAUUCCCUACCCAUAUAGAUGUAUAAAGUCAUCUAGUUUGUGCAUUUUGAUCUUGGGGAGGUGCGUAUAUUUCAUUGAUCUGAUCUCUCCUCUUGGUUUUCUCAUCCACAUCAUCAUCUGACGAAUCCUCCAUUUUCAUACUGCCACUUCGUUUUGACCUUCCAUUCAUCCAGCUGGGCUUUGGUCUUUGCAACUACUUUUACAAGCAGAUUUUUGUCUCCCAAUUGAAUUUCAUACAAUUACCUUAAUGGACGUAGAGUAGAUUCUGGUUUAUUUUACUCACGAAAACCGAAUGCUUGCAACUUUCAUAAAGCCCCUUAAACUCUACUUCAGCUUCAAACUAAGCCGCACUUUGCGAGUAGCUUCCUGAUUAACAUAUCAGAAGCUUUCUCAGAUAUGUUUCCAGGAUGAUCCUGGAAACUAUAGAGUGAUACAUCUCACAUCAGUAGCAGGGAAGUUUCUGGAGUCAAUUCUCAGAUAUAGGAUUUGUGAGCAUAUGGAAAACCACGGUCUAAUUGAGGACAGUUUGUAUGGUUUUGUACGGGGCGAGUCAUGUCUUACAAACUUCAUUGAGUUUUUAAAGAUGACAAGUGUAAUUGAUGAUGGCAGAGCUGUGGAUGUUGUCUAUAUGGAUUUUAGUAAGGCAUUUGACAAGGUGCCUCAUGGGAGGCUCAUCCACAAGAUUAAGAUGCAUGGGAUCCAUAGUGAAGCAACUGUUUGGGUUCAGAAUUGGUUUAUUCUGGCUGAAGGUCUGUGGCUCCCUCCUGUACCUAAUAAAGUGGUGACUGAGUAUAUGUUCAUGGUCUUCUGCUGCUGUAGCCCAUCCACUUGAAGGUUAUACGCGCUCUUCUGCACACCACUGUUGAAGUUAUUUGAAUUACCAUUGCUUUCCCGUCAACUUGAACCAGUCAGGUCAUUCUCCUCUAACCUCUCUCAUGAACAAAGCACAUAUGCACAGAACUGCCAGUAUCUGGAUGUUUUUUCAUACCAUUCUCUGUAAACUAUAGAGAUCAUUGUGUGUGAAAACAGGCAAUCAGUAGUUUCUGAGAUACUCAAAACCACCCCAUCUGGCACCGACAAUCAUUCCAUAGUCAAAGUCACUCAGAUUACAUUGCUUCCCCUUUCUGAUGUUUGGUCUGAACAACAACUGAAUCUCUUGGCCAUGUCUGUAUGCUUUUUAUGCAUUGAGUUGCUGCCACAUGAUUGGCUGAUUAGAUAUUUGCAUUAAUGAACAAGUGUACGGGUAUGCCUAUUAAAGUAACCAUUGAGUUUAUAUAAAUGCUUAAAUGACCUGGAUGAAAACAAAGAUGGGUGGGUUAGUAAAUUUGCAUAUAAUACAAAUAUUGGUGGUGUUGUGGAUGGUAUAGUAAACUCACAAAAGGAUUCAGUGGGGUACAGAUCAGUUGCAGAUAUGGGCAGAGAAAUGAAAGAUGGAUUUAACCCCAGUCAAUUGUGAAUUGUUGUAUUUUGGGAUAUCAAAAGUAAAGACACAGUACACUGCUAAUGUCUAGACACUUACAAUGUUGAUGAGCAGAGGGAUCUUAGCAUCCAAGUUCAUAGCUCCCUUAAAGUGGGGAGCUUAUAGAGUGAUUAAAAAAAGGGCAUAUGGCAUACUUGUUUUUAUUAAUCAAGAGACCAAGUUUAAGAGUUGGGAAGUUGCUUCGAAGCUUUGUAAAACUCUAGCAAGGCUGCAUUGCUUACAUUCAAUUCUGGCCGUCCCAUUAUAGGAGAGAUGUCAAGGAUUUGGAGAGGAUACAGAAGAGAAUUACCAGAAUGCUGCCUGAAUUAGAGAGCAUGUGCUAUAGGAGAAGUUGAACAAACUUGGGUUAUUUUCUCUGGAGCAGGAGAGACUCUCCUACCAUGGGAGGAUCUCAUCAAAACCUACUGAACCUUGAAAGGACUGGACAGGGUGGAUGCGAAGAGGAUGUUUCCUAUGUUGGAUCCUUUAGAACAGAGAUGUGAUUCUGAUACUGUUGGAGCCUGUUAUCUAUAUUCUGGCGGUGUAUUUUCGGGAUGAACUGAUGAUCUGGUGCUUUGUUGUCUCCGAGAGGAUUCUACAAGGCGGCAAACGAAGUGUGCGGCAUGGAGGCCAGGAAGCCUGGAGAUGGAGCACUAGCCCAUGAUCAACUCCAUCUCUCAGCGAUCUCACCAAUUCAAGCACCAAGGACAACUGAAAUCAUUGAGGUGGGUGCAGAGGGCAAGUGAGGGUUCAGCACCGUCGACAAGCCUCUCACUCUCUGCUGCCAGAGAAGGGUGUCUACAAGUGGGAGGCUCUAACUUCCUCUCACUCGCUACUCCUGAGGGAAGGUCCUUGUGUUCCAGUGAUCUCUCUCUCUCUCUCUCUCUCAAUGCUGUUGAAGGAUGGUGCCAGAGCAAGGUUUAAACAACACGGUUUGUAGAUUGGACACUAAUUCACAUAUUUGAUGUGUUCUAGUUUAUGGUCACUUUUUUUUGCUAUUUUUAGGAGAUUUUUUGAAUCAGGGUGGCCUGCAGGUAACAAACACCGAACUAAACUGAAAUAUAUCUUUUGAUUUUGUGUUUUAUAUUGUAUUCUCGCUUAUCUUUUGAUGCCAUUUGCACAACUUCUGGUUUUUUUCAUGUCUGUGGGGAUGGAAGAAGGGGAGUUGAUGUUUUUCUUUGAACAGGUUCCAUAUAUCAUGACUGUCUGUGGGGAGGACAAAUUUCAAGAUUGUAUACUGCAUACAUACUUUGAUUUAAAAAAGUACUUUGAAUCUUUGCAUCAGCUACCUACAGAGCCUCAAACAGAGUUGAAAUCGCCCUCAAUUAAGGAUCUGACAAAUCAGAAUUAACCAUACUAAAAAGGAAUUUACUUUCCAGAAUUAGAUUUAUCAUCACUGACUUGUACAUCCUGAAGUUUGAUGUUUUGAGACAGUACAACAUGAAAAGGUAUAAAGUUAUUAUAAAUUACAUAGUACAAUAAAAUAGUACAUAGUACUAUAAAUUAAAUAAUACAAUAAAAAGAAAUAACGAGUAGAGUUCAAGGGUUUCAUGGACCUUUCAGAAAUUGGGUGCAGGAAAGGAAGAAACUUACUUUAAACUUACUUAUGUUAGUGAAAAGUGGUAAUUUUACAGUGACAUUUUAUUGUAGUGCCCUCCACUCAUGAAAACAAGAUGAACAGCAUCACAACCUCACCGAGCUGUACCCAAUUAAAACUUAUGGAAAAAUUUACACUAACAUCUCAAAAAACACUAGUUUUUCUGGCUCAGUGCUAGAAGCAGAAAAGCUUAUACCAGCAAGAAGAUUGCAAAUACAAAAGGUUCACAGACUGUGCCCAAAUAAACGUUCAAGAACAAAAGGUGAAGUAUGUAAACAAUUUGAAGGCAGAAAAGAGGAAGAAACAACCAUGAGAACACUGCAGAGCAAACCUAGCACAGAAAAUCUGUGGGAAGUAGUACAAAUGGAAAUCGUUAACCUCAUUAAGUGAACAGUGACAUAACCAACAACUUGGUACUGGUGCUGAUAACAAAAUUGCAGGGUAGCAAUCAAAGCUUAAAGCUCAAGUAAAUGAAAAACAAUCCUCUCCCUUUUCAAGGAUUAUACACAGGCAGCAAAACACAGAGGAAACCACAUUGCUUCUGUUGAAAAUUAUCUCAUGUGCAGAAUGCCCAAAACAUUAUGAUGCACUGACUGUUCGUUCAUAACUGGAAAAUAAAAUUCCAGGAAGGAAUAUCAAAAAAAUUGUUUUCCAAUGAGUUCAGGGCAUGCUGUGUUGGCACUGGAAACGAGGUGACGUUUGCAGGCUGUAUCCAGCACUAUCCUUGGACUACAUUGGUUGAUGACGCUAGUAACACAUUGCACUGUAUGCUUCAAUGUACAUGAAAAAUAAACCUAAUCUUUAAAGAAUUCAGAAUCAGAUUUGAAAUCACUGGCAUACGUUUUGCAGCAGCACUAUGUUGUAAUAUGUAAUAAUGAUUAUUAUCAAUUAAAAUAAAUAUAUAUGAAUUUUAAAUUAAAUUUGUACAAAAAGAGGAAAAAUACUGAAGUAAUGUUCGUGGAUUCAUUAUCCAUUCAGAAAUCUGAUGGCAGAGAAAAAUCUGAUCCUGAAAAGUGAGUGUGUGUCUUCAUGUUCCUGUACCUCCUCUUUCUUGAUGGAAACAAUGAGAAGAAGGUGGGGGGGGGGCCUUGAUGAUUGAUGCUGCCUUUUUGAGGCACCACCUUUUGCAGAUGUCCUCUUUGCUGGGGAGGCUAGUGCCCAGGAUGGAGCUGGCUGAAUUUACACUUUUUGCAGCUUUUUCCAAUCCUGUGCAGUGGCCCCUCCAUACUGCAAACAGUUAGAAUAUUGCCCACAGUAAAUCUGCAGAAAUUUGUAGGUGUCUUUGGUGACAUUCCAAUUCUCCUCAAAAUCUGUUGUGCCUUCUUUGAAAAUGCAUCAAUAUGGGAGUCCAUAUUUUUCUUUAUACAAAGCAUACACUGAAUUUAUCGACAAUUCAUUAUUCAUGAAUACUACUACCUUCAAUUACUGUACAAUAUAGUAUAACAAAAGUGGGAACAAAGAUUUCAUUCAAAGAUUCUAGUCAAUGUCUGAUGCCCGAUGAUCAGUGCAGCUCAUUUGUGCAUGCCUUUUACCAAGAGUUCAAUCAAGAAGCGAGCUGAGUUUUUGUAAGAAACGAAAAAAAAUUAACUGAUAAUAUACACAAAGCGAAGGCACAAUCAAAUUAUUUUCUGAUUACUGCUGUGUAUUCAUUUAUAUGCACUAGAAUAUAAAUGUGAAA